AUUAAUCUAAGAACAAAUAAUCACUUUCAAAACAUAAUGAAACAUACCGACUGUCCUUAGUGCAAGUGACAAAGGGCCUGAUGAUUGGUACUUAAGGUCUCAAGUUCGAAUCCUAGUUAAUUCACAUUUUCAACUAAAUUUGUUUUUUUUAAAAAUAAAUAAAGCAAGUAGUAUGCUACUUUUCUCUCUCUAAAAAAAAAAAAACAUAAUGAAACAUAUAUAAUUUGGUGUUUUUGUUAUUAAGGGUGGAUUAAUUAGUAGUGAAAAUUCUCUAUGGAGGUAUAGGAGAACUUUUUUGUAGUA
rnacentral:lncRNA from 1 species